CUUCCAGAGCUGGAACGGCGCAAAUCCAUCGUAGAAAAUGAGUGGAAAAGGAUACGAGGCCACCAAGUCUCCGUCACCCUGGAUGUGGAAA